rnacentral:lncRNA from 1 species
AGAUUAUCGGUGAUCAUCUCAACGAGAUUGCUUUUCUCGCUUGAUCCGGGACGGCAAAAGCAAAAAAGGCAAUCGAGUUGGGAUGAACAAUGAUAAUCUUUUUAUCGCUAUUUUACCUAUGACGACGUUGUCGAUUUCAUGUCAAUUUCGUGUCAAUUUCAUGUCAAUUUCGAUAGCAACGCCACGUGCAUGCUUAGUUUCUAGCGAUAAUUUUCCAUCUCAAGCGAGUAGAAUGAUAUGAAAAUUAUCACAAAAAAAGAUCAAAGGAAAAAAGCACAAAAUAGCGAU